GCAGGGUGUAAGAAAGCUCCUGCCGGGCUCUGUGUCCGCAGGAGAAAAGCUCAGAAGCAGGGCAGAGUGAGUGCUCUCCAGGCAGGUAGGCCUGGGAGAGACCCUGUCCAAGCAGGGAAAAGACUGCAAUAGCCCAAGUGGAAAUGACUGUGGAGAAGAACAAACUCCAGGCAGGAGCCAGCCUGCUAGCUCAGUGCGUGGAUAGCUCCAAGCCCUUCUCCCUGGGCUCUCUGUGGGAGCUGGAUGCAAGGUGACGUGUGAAGGACCUUUGGCUUCCAGAUCUGUCAUCUCCAGGUUCAGCAUGGACAAGGAUCAAUGGGCAGAGGACUGCUUGGGUAACAGACAUAAGGAGAGUGGAGCUCAGAAGAAGAGAAUGGAGGGAAAACAGCCCAACUCCUCAUCUCUAAUGGGCUGGGCUGCACACUGAAGAUGGAGGAACUGGACACAGGACUCCAGCAGCGGUUGCACCACUAUGAAAUAUACAGGAAUCGAAGCACUUGGCAUCCAGAGACUUUCAGAGCCGCGAGAAGAAGAGCUGCUUUCCAUCACAGUUAGCUCUGUAACUAAGCCUGAGUGGUACCUAGCUAGACCUGCUCUGGAUGCAUCACAGACAGAGUAAAACUUCCCAAAGCUCUAAGUGCCAAAGUUGUUUUGGAAAAUGGGACUUCUGAAAAUGUUAACCUUGGUAGGUUAUCCAGACCAGGGAUAGGUUAGCCUGAGCCACAGUGGUGGAAAUUCACAAUGAUUCAAAAUGAUGGCGUUGAGUAGUAAAUAGCAGGGCAGGAAACAGUUUUCACAUCCCAUG